rnacentral:rRNA from 1 species
UGAACGCUGGCGGUAGGCCUAACACAUGCAAGUCGAACGGCAGCACAGUAAGAGCUUGCUCUUACGGGUGGCGAGUGGCGGACGGGUGAGGAAUACAUCGGAAUCUACUUUUUCGUGGGGGAUAACGUAGGGAAACUUACGCUAAUACCGCAUACGACCUACGGGUGAAAGCAGGGGAUCUUCGGACCUUGCGCGAUUGAAUGAGCCGAUGUCGGAUUAGCUAGUUGGCGGGGUAAAGGCCCACCAAGGCGACGAUCCGUAGCUGGUCUGAGAGGAUGAUCAGCCACACUGGAACUGAGACACGGUCCAGACUCCUACGGGAGGCAGCAGUGGGGAAUAUUGGACAAUGGGCGCAAGCCUGAUCCAGCCAUACCGCGUAGGUGAAGAAGGCCUUCGGGUUGUAAAGCCCUUUUGUUGGGAAAGAAAAGCAGCAGGUUAAUACCCCGCUGUUCUGACGGUACCCAAAGAAUAAGCACCGGCUAACUUCGUG